CAGGGAUGCGAGACUGCGAAGUUAAGCGAAACUCAAAAAGCCUGUCUCAGUUCGGAUUGCACUCUGCAACUCGAGUGCAUGAAGUUGGAGUUGCUAGUAAUCGUGGAUCAGAAUGCCGCGGUGAAUGCGUUCCCGGGUCUUGUACACACCGCCCGUCACACCAUGGAAGUUGGCAAUACCCGAAGCCUGUGAGCUAACCUUUUAGGAAGCAGCAGUCGAAGGUAGGGUCAGUAACUGGGGUGAAGUCGUAACAAGGUAGCCGUAUCGGAAGGUGCGGCUGGAUCACCUCCUUU
rnacentral:ncRNA from 1 species